AGAGACAGAGACAGAGACAGAGACAGAGACAGAGACAGAGACAGAGACAGAGACAGAGACAGAGACAGAGACAGAGACAGAGACAGAGACAGAGACAGAGACAGAGAGAGACAGAGACAGAGACAGAGACAGAGACAGAGACAGAGACAGAGACAGAGACAGAGACAGAGACAGAGAGAGACAGAGAGAGACAGAGAGAGACAGAGAGAGACAGAGAGAGACAGAGAGAGACAGAGACAGAGACAGAGACAGAGACAGAGACAGAGACAGAGACAGAGACAGAGACAGAGACAGAGACAGAGACAGAGACAGAGACAGAGACAGAGACAGAGACAGAGACAGAGACAGAGACAGAGACAGAGACAGAGACAGAGAGAGACAGAGAGAGACAGAGAGAGACAGAGAGAGACAGAGAGAGACAGAGACAGAGACAGAGACAGAGACAGAGACAGAGACAGAGACAGAGACAGAGACAGAGACAGAGACAGAGACAGAGACAGAGAGAGACAGAGAGAGACAGAGAGAGACAGAGACAGAGAGAGACAGAGACAGAGAGAGACAGAGAGAGACAGAGACAGAGACAGAGACAGAGACAGAGAGAGACAGAGAGAGACAGAGACAGAGACAGAGACAGAGACAGAGACAGAGACAGAGACAGAGACAGAGACAGAGACAGAGACAGAGACAGAGACAGAGACAGAGACAGAGACAGAGACAGAGACAGAGACAGAGACAGAGACAGAGACAGAGACAGAGACAGAGACAGAGACAGAGACAGAGACAGAGACAGAGACAGAGACAGAGACAGAGACAGAGACAGAGACAGAGACAGAGACAGAGACAGAGACAGAGACAGAGACAGAGAGAGACAGAGAGAGACAGAGAGAGACAGAGACAGAGACAGAGACAGAGACAGAGACAGAGACAGAGAGAGACAGAGAGAGACAGAGACAGAGACAGAGACAGAGACAGAGACAGAGACAGAGACAGAGACAGAGACAGAGAGAGACAGAGAGAGACAGAGAGAGACAGAGAGAGACAGAGACAGAGACAGAGACAGAGAGAGACAGAGAGAGACAGAGACAGAGACAGAGACAGAGACAGAGACAGAGACAGAGAGAGACAGAGACAGAGACAGAGACAGAGAGAGACAGAGAGAGACAGAGAGAGACAGAGAGAGACAGAGACAGAGAGAGACAGAGAGAGACAGAGAGAGACAGAGAGAGACAGAGAGAGACAGAGACAGAGACAGAGACAGAGAGAGACAGAGACAGAGAGAGACAGAGAGAGACAGAGACAGAGACAGAGACAGAGAGAGACAGAGACAGAGACAGAGACAGAGACAGAGACAGAGACAGAGAGAGACAGAGACAGAGACAGAGAGAGACAGAGACACGUUGCCCUUCACAGAAUAAUUUUUGGUUACUUGUCAGUAUGAUAAUUGAAAUAUACAUUUAA
rnacentral:lncRNA from 1 species